AUCGUUCAUCUUCGAAAGAAGACGGAAGUAGGUGAAAGCUGAAGGAACGCGAC
rnacentral:ncRNA from 10 species